CUGUCACAGACUAAAGUGCAGUGGCGUGAUCUCGGCUCACUACAACCUUUGCCUUCUAGAUUCAAGCGAUUUUCCUGCCUCAGCCUCCCGAGUAGCUGAGAUUACAGUCACACACUAAGGUGCCCGGCUAAUUUUUGUAUUUUCAGUGGAGAAGGGGUUUCACCACGUUGGUCAGGCUGGUCUGGAACUCCUGACCUCAGGUGAUCUGCCUGCCUCAGCCUCCCAAAGUGUUGGGAUUACAGGCAUGAGCCACCGUGCCUGGCCAUGCAAUACUUAGAGUCACAGAAGUUUAUGGUUAGAUAAUUCUCACAGAGGUGACCUGGUUCAGCUCUACCAUAUCAGAUUUCUUACAAACAAAGGGCUUGGAUGAUAGACCAUGGUCGACAGC
rnacentral:lncRNA from 1 species